CGAUUAAGCGCAGGAAAAGAAACCAACAGGGAUUGCCUUAGUAACUGCGAGUGAAGCGGCAAAAGCUCAAAUUUGAAAUCUGGCGUCUUCGGCGUCCGAGUUGUAAUUUGGAGAGAUUUCUUCGGGGUGAACACCGGUCCAAGUUCCUUGGAACAGGACGUCACAGAGGGUGAGAAUCCCGUGUCUGACCGGUUGCUUCAUUCCAUGUGAAGAGUCUUCGACGAGUCGAGUUGUUUGGGAAUGCAGCUCAAAAUGGGUGGUAAAUUUCAUCUAAAGCUAAAUAUUGGCGAGAGACCGAUAGCGCACAAGUAGAGUGAUCGAAAGAUGAAAAGCACUUUGAAAAGAGAGUUAAAAAGUACGUGAAAUUGUUGAAAGGGAAGCGCUUGAGACCAGACUCAAUUUGUGGUGAACAUCAGUCCUUCUGGGCUGUGCACUUGCCACUUUUUGGGCCAGCAUCGGUUCUGACCGUGUGAUAAAGGUCCUGGGAAUGUAGCUCCUCUCGGGGAGUGUUAUAGCCCAGGGCGUAAUGACAUGAGUUGGGACCGAGGACCGCGCUUCGGCUAGGAUGCUGGCAUAAUGGUCUUCAGCGACCCGUCUUGAAACACGGACCAAGGAGUCUAACAUCUAUGCGAGUGUUCGGGUGGAAAACCCUUGCGCGUAAUGAAAGUGAACGGAGGUGGGAACCCCUCGGGGUGCACCAUCGACCGAUCCUGAUGUUCUCGGAUGGAUUUGA
rnacentral:rRNA from 1 species